AGUGAACGCUGGCGGUAGGCCUAACACAUGCAAGUCGAACGGCAGCACAGGAGAGCUUGCUCUCUGGGUGGCGAGUGGCGGACGGGUGAGGAAUACAUCGGAAUCUACUUUUUCGUGGGGGAUAACGGAGGGAAACUUACGCUAAUACCGCAUACGACCUACGGGUGAAAGCAGGGGACCUUCGGGCCCUGCGCGAGUGAAUGAGCCGAUGUGGGAUUAGCUAGUUGGCGGGGUAAAGGCCCACCAAGGAGACGAUCCGUAGCUGGUCUGAGAGGAUGAUCAGCCACACUGGAACUGAGACACGGUCCAGACUCCUACGGGAGGCAGCAGUGGGGAAUAUUGGACAAUGGUCGCAAGCCUGAUCCAGCCAUACCGCGUGGGUGAAGAAGGCCUUCGGGUUGUAAAGCCCUUUUGUUGGGAAAGAAAUCCAGCUGGCUAAUACCCGGUUGGGAUGACGGUACCCAAAGAAUAAGCACCGGCUAACUUCGUGCCAGCAGCCGCGGUAA
rnacentral:rRNA from 1 species